rnacentral:lncRNA from 1 species
GACUGGAAUGCUUCUAGGAGUUGCAGAAUGGCAAAGAUUUUUAUUUUUUUUAAAUGGAUCCUCUCUGACAUGUCCCAGUUGGUGCUAUCUUUUGAUAAAGAGGAAAAAACAAACCCUGUCUUGCUGAAAAUUUGCAGUUAUAAAGCUGGACUCUCUUUGUUGACCAAAAUGGAUCAAGAAAACAGGUAGGUCAGAUUUAAGCAUGAGUAUGAUCUUAAUCUGUAGGAUUAUCUGGGAUGCAGAAAUCUCUACAAUAACUCAAACCAUUAUUGGGUGUUAAUUCCACUACAGGGCUAUUUACAGGAUGACUUAAAUUGACAGAUGCAGGCUCUGUUAUCCCAGCUAUCUGACCUGUGAGUGCUGUUGGGACUCUGUACUCAGAUCCUCAGGUGCUUAAUUCUGGUAAAGCUGUCCCACCUGGCUUCCCAAGAAAAUUGGCUCUUCCUUUCUCAGCUCCUCUAAUUGUGGACUGGAGAAACUAAUUAUCCUGAAACAAGGAUUUGGAGUGCUGUGGGUGGCUUUCCUCUGCCUUGAAUGAGAGCAGGAUUGAACCUCUGUGACAGAUUAAAAAGGUAAUUUGAAGCCAUUACUGUUUAAGGGAGGAGGAAGGAGGUUUUGCAGCAGGGUGUGAAACCCCUCCCCCCCUCCAGCCUCACACUCACUGCUGCCCUUGGAUUUUUGGGACUUUUUAUUUUGGCAAAUGCUAUGUACUCAUUUGAACUAAAAUUACCCGGCUGCCAGCCUGCUUGAUAGCAAUUACAUCUAAAGAGAGAGAACCGCUGAACUUCAUGUAUUGGUGUCAGAGCAAGCUGAGGGAGGCAACAUGGGGCAUGGCCCCAACUGGGCCGUGGGCUGUGCUGCCCCACUGUGCCACCCCCUGUCCCACUGCAGGGCAGGGCUCCUCCACCAGCAGGGGACUGCAGAGACAAAAAGCCUCAAAUCCACCUCUCUACCCCUGUGAGCACUCAGCAAUAUGUGCAAUUUCAGUCAUUGCUGGCACUCGGCUCUUUUGUUGUUCGUUCUGCAAUUUUGAACUCCCUUAA